rnacentral:rRNA from 1 species
UACGAAGGGGGCUAGCGUUGUUCGGAAUCACUGGGCGUAAAGGGCGCGUAGGCGGCUUUAUAAGUCGGGGGUGAAAGCCUGUGGCUCAACCACAGAAUUGCCUUCGAUACUGUAGAGCUUGAGACCGGAAGAGGUAAGUGGAACUGCGAGUGUGGAGGUGAAAUUCGUAGAUAUUCGCAAAAACACCAGUGGCGAAGGCGGCUUACUGGUCCGGUUCUGACGCUGAGGCGCGAAAGCGUGGGGAGCGAACAGG